UAAUACGUAGGGGGCGAGCGUUGUCCGAAUUUACUGGGCGUAAAGCGCGUGUAGGCGGUUCUUUAAGUCAGAUGUGAAAUCCUGUGGCUCAACCACAGAACUGCAUUUGAAACUGAAGGGCUUGAGUGUGGGAGAGGAAAGUGGAAUUCCUGGUGUAGCGGUGAAAUGCGUAGAUAUCAGGAGGAACACCCGUGGCGAAGGCGGCUUUCUGGCCCACCACUGACGCUGAGACGCGAAAGCUAGGGGAGCGAACGGG
rnacentral:rRNA from 1 species